UAUCACUAUUCGCUGAAUCCAUAUGGAGCGGGGGAACCAACUUUUGUGCGAUUGCACUUGGGGUGAAUCCUUCUUAACUGAAGGUAGGGCUACUCUUAAGGCCCGAAUCCGACAGCUAACCUCGUAAGCGUUUCGAGAGGGGAUAC
rnacentral:sRNA from 1 species